rnacentral:rRNA from 1 species
UCAGGACGAACGCUGGCGGCGUGCCUAAUACAUGCAAGUCGAACGGUCUUUCUAUGGAAGCUUGCUUCCGCUGAGAAGAUAGUGGCGAACGGGUGAGUAACACGUGGGUAACCUGCCCAUAAGAGGGGGAUAACAUCCGGAAACGGGUGCUAAUACCGCAUAGUUUUCUUGAUCGCAUGAUCGGGAAAGAAAAGACGGCCUUUGUGCUGUCGCUUAUGGAUGGACCCGCGGCGUAUUAGUUAGUUGGUGAGGUAACGGCUCACCAAGACGAUGAUACGUAGCCGACCUGAGAGGGUGAUCGGCCACAUUGGGACUGAGACACGGCCCAAACUCCUACGGGAGGCAGCAGUAGGGAAUCUUCCGCAAUGGACGAAAGUCUGACGGAGCAACGCCGCGUGAGUGAAGAAAACGGUUUUCGGAUCGUAAAACUCUGUUGUCAGAGAAGAACAAGUUGGAGAGUAACUGCUCCAGCCUUGACGGUAUCUGACCAGAAAGCCACGGCUAACUACGUGCCAGCAGCCGC